rnacentral:rRNA from 1 species
UACGUAAGUGGCGAGCGUUGUCCGGAUUAUUGGGCGUAAAGCGCGCGCAGGCGGUCGCGUAAGUCUGCUGUGAAAUCUCCCUGGCUCAACCGGGAGGGGGCGGCGGAGACUGCGGGACUGGAGGGACCUAGAGGCCGGUGGAAUUCCCGGUGUAGUGGUGAAAUGCGUAGAGAGUCGGGAGGAACACCUGUGGCGAAGGCG